AGCGAACGCUGGCGGCAGGCCUAAAACAUGCAAGUCGAACGCCGUAGCAAAACGGAGUGGCAGACGGGUGAGUAACACGUGGGAACGUGCCCUUUGGUCCGGAACAACACAGGGAAACUUGUGCUAAUACCGGAUAAGCCCUUACGGGGAAAGAUUUAUCGCCGAAGGAUCGGCCCGCGUCUGAUUAGCUAGUUGGUGGGGUAAUGGCCCACCAAGGCUACGAUCAGUAGCUGGUCUGAGAGGAUGAUCAGCCACACUGGGACUGAGACACGGCCCAGACUCCUACGGGAGGCAGCAGUUAGGAAUCUUGGACAAUGGGCGCAAGCCUGAUCCAGCCAUGCCGCGUGAGUGAUGAAGGCCUUAGGGUUGUAAAGCUCUUUCAGCGGGGAAGAUAAUGACGGUACCCGCAGAAGAAGCCCCGGCUAACUUCGUGCCAGCCGCCGCUGUAA
rnacentral:rRNA from 1 species